rnacentral:tRNA from 1 species
GCCUGAGUGGCUCAGUGGUUGAGCAGCUGCCUUUGGCUCAGGGCAGGAUUCUGGGAUCCUGGGAUCAAAUCCCGCAUCAGGCU